GUCGGAGUGCCUAGCAUGCAUAGCAUCGGGCUGAGACCGUUAAUUCGGGAUCCGCGGAACCUGAUCGGGUUAAUACCCGCGAAGGGAACAAGAGUAAU
rnacentral:ncRNA from 1 species